rnacentral:misc_RNA from 1 species
UUAAUUCAUUCUUAUUUCCUUUUUGAUAAUAAAACUCAGCUUAUCAAAAAAUAAAUUAAUUAAAGUCAAGAAAGAAAGCAUGCAUAUAUAAACAUAACCUGAUGUAGUUGUAGGUAGUGUAGCCAAUAUAUUCUAUCACUUUCAAUGGAUGUGAACACUAAUCAUGUAUAGGGUAAGGGGGAACCUCAUAGGAAAAAAACUCGAAAGAUGAAUCCAAUAAGAAAAGUGUCAAAUUAGAAAACAUGCCAAUUAGCUUGUUACGAAAUGGCAGACGAUGGAACGAUUCCUGUCCUCGAUCUAUUCCAGUCCAACUCUAGCCUAGGUCAUUCUACUUACUGGAUGGGCCAUGUCUGCCAAUAGAUAUAUGUAGGGUAUGGGGUAAUGAGAUGUGGGACAUGGGAAAUAGGAA